AAGGAAUGAAGGCCCUCUCUUUGGGUGAUUAGCCUUUGCUUAUGCAAGAGGAAUCUACAAAGGUAUAAUUUCUCAACUAACAAAUGUUGUUUUAAGUUGAGUCAAGGUUCACCAAUCUACUAGGCUUUGAAUUUCAUGGUUAAUGUUUUGUUUUUUAGUGCAUGCAAGCAUGAUUCCGCCUUUUAAUUGUUAAUUGCAUGCUAUAGAUGUUGCUCAAAUGAACAUGUUUUUUACAAAAUUACCUUCAAUAACUUCUCAUACAUUGCUCAAUUGGGGUGUUUGAAUAUACCAACAUGACCUACAAAACCCCACGAACAUUCCCAUAUUUUGAAAAUAAUUUUCUAACAUCUCACGCGCCCUCACGU
rnacentral:lncRNA from 1 species